rnacentral:rRNA from 1 species
AACGCUAGCUACAGGCUUAACACAUGCAAGUCGAGGGGCAGCAUUGGAGUAGCAAUACUUCUGAUGGCGACCGGCGCACGGGUGAGUAACACGUAUCCAACCUGCCGCUUACUCGGGGAUAGCCUUUCGAAAGAAAGAUUAAUACCCGAUGGUAUAAAGAGUUCGCAUGUUCUCUUUAUUAAAGAAUUUCGGUAAGCGAUGGGGAUGCGUUCCAUUAGAUAGUUGGCGGGGUAACGGCCCACCAAGUCUACGAUGGAUAGGGGUUCUGAGAGGAAGGUCCCCCACAUUGGAACUGAGACACGGUCCAAACUCCUACGGGAGGCAGCAGUGAGGAAUAUUGGUCAAUGGACGAGAGUCUGAACCAGCCAAGUAGCGUGAAGGAUGACUGCCCUAUGGGUUGUAAACUUCUUUUAUAAGGGAAUAAAGUGAGGGACGUGUCCCUUUUUGUAUGUACCUUAUGAAUAAGGAUCGGCUAACUCCGUGCCAGCGGCCGCGGUAAUACGGAGGAUCCAAGCGUUAUCCGGAUUUAUUGGGUUUAAAGGGAGCGUAGGUUGACAUAUAAGUCAGCUGUGAAAGUUUACGGCUCAACCGUGAAAUUGCAGUUGAUACUGUAUGUCUUGAGUGUACAAGAGGUGGGCGGAAUUCGUGGUGUAGCGGUGAAAUGCUUAGAUAUCACGAAGAACUCCGAUUG